rnacentral:rRNA from 1 species
GACGAACGCUGGCGGCGUGCUUAACACAUGCAAGUCGAACGGUAAGGCCCUUCGGGUACGACGAGUGGCGAACGGGUGGAGUAACACGUGGGUGAUCUGCCCUGCACUUCGGGAUAAGCCUGGGAAACUGGGUCUAAUACCGGAUAGGACCAUGGACUUCACGGUUUGUGGUGGAAAGCUUUUGCGGUGUGGGAUGGGCCCGCGGCCUAUCAGCUUGUUGGUGGGGUAAUGGCCUACCAAGGCGACGACGGGUAGCCGGCCUGAGAGGGUGUCCGGCCACACUGGGACUGAGAUACGGCCCAGACUCCUACGGGAGGCAGCAGUGGGGAAUAUUGCACAAUGGGCGCAAGCCUGAUGCAGCGACGCCGCGUGAGGGAUGACGGCCU